CUACUGCUAACACCCGAUGUGCCUGAAAAGGUGAAAAAUUAAUUGCCUAGAGAGAGGCUCGCGUCCGAUUAGCUAGUUGGCGGGGUAAAAGCCCACCAAGGCAGUGAUCGGUAGCUGGUCUGAGAGGAUGAACAGCCACACUGGGACUGAGACACGGCCCAGACUCCUACGGGAGGCAGCAGUGGGGAAUUUUCCGCAAUGGGCGAAAGCCUGACGGAGCAAUACCGCGUGAGGGAAGAAGGUCUUUGGAUUGUAAAUCUCUUUUCUCAGGGAAGAUAAUGACGGUACCUGAGGAAUAAGCAUCGGCUAACUCCGUGCCAGCAGCCGCGGUAAUACGGAGGAUGCAAGCGUUAUCCGGAAUCAUUGGGCGUAAAGCGUCCGUAGGUGGUUAGUCAAGUCCAUUGUCAAAGAAAGCAGCUUAACUGCAGGCAGGCAGUGGAAACUGAAAAACUAGAGCCAAAUAGGGGUAGAGGGAAUUCCCGGUGUAGCGGUGAAAUGCGUAGAGAUCGGGAAGAACACCAGUGGCGAAAGCGCUCUACUGGAUUAAGGCUGACACUGAGGGACGAAAGCUAGGGGAGCGAAAGGGAUUAGAUACCCCUGUAGUCCUAGCCGUAAACGAUGGAUACUAGGUGUUGUUAAGAGCAAUCUAAAUAGUGCCGUAGCUAACGCGAUAAGUAUCCCGCCUGGGGAGUACGCACGCAAGUGUGAAACUCAAAGGAAUUGACGGGGGCCCGCACAAGCGGUGGAGUAUGUGGUUUAAUUCGAUGCAACGCGCAGAACCUCACCUGGGUUUGACAUCUCUGGAAUCGGUGGGAAACUACCGAGUGCCGUAAGGAACCAGAAGACAGGUGGUGCAUGGCUGUCGUCAGCUCGUGUCGUGAGAUGUUGGGUUAAGUCCCGCAACGAGCGCAACCCUCGUGCUUAGUUACCAUCAUUAAGUUGGGGACUCUAGGCAGACUGCCGGUGACAAACCGGAGGAAGGUGGGGAUGACGUCAAGUCAGCAUGCCCCUUACACUCAGGGCGACACACGUACUACAAUGCUCUGGACAAACAGUAGCCAACCUGCAAAGGCGAGCAAAUCUGAUAAACCUGGGCUCAGUUCAGAUCGCCGGCUGCAACUCGCCGGCGUGAAGGAGGAAUCGCUAGUAAUCGCAGGUCAGCAUACUGCGGUGAAUCCGUUCCCGGGCCUUGUACACAUCGCCCGUCACACCAUGGGAGCUGGCCACGCCCGAAGUCGUUAC
rnacentral:rRNA from 1 species